rnacentral:rRNA from 1 species
UACGUAGGGGGCAAGCGUUGUCCGGAUUUAUUGGGCGUAAAGAGCUCGUAGGCGGUUCGAUAAGUCGGAUGUGAAAUCUCCACGCUUAACGUGGAGGGUGCAUUCGAUACUGUCGUGACUAGAGUCCGGUAGAGGAGUGUGGAAUUCCUGGUGUAGCGGUGAAAUGCGCAGAUAUCAGGAGGAACACCAAUGGCGAAGGCAGCUCACUGGGACGGUACUGACGCUGAGACGCGAAAGCGUGGGGAGCAAACAGG